rnacentral:rRNA from 1 species
CCUACGGGAGGCAGCAGUGGGGGAUAUUGCACAAUGGGGGGAACCCUGAUGCAGCGACGCCGCGUGGGUGAAGAAGCGCCUCGGCGCGUAAAGCUCUGUCAGCAGGGAAGAAAAUUACGGUACCUGAGUAAGAAGCCCCGGCUAACUACGUUCAAGCAGCCGCGGUACUACGUAGGGGGCCAGCGUUAUCCGGAUUUACUGGGUGUAAAGGGAGCGCAGACGGUGAGACAAGUCUGAAGUGAAAGCCCGCGGCUCAACCCCGGGACUGCUUUGGAAACUGCCUGACUGGAGUGCUGGAGAGGCAAGCGGAAUUCCUAGUGUAGCGGUGAAAUGCGUAGAUAUUAGGAAGAACACCAGUGGCGAAGGCGGCUUGCUGGACAGUAACUGACGUUGAGGCUCGAAAGCGUGGGGAGCAAACAGGAUUAGAUACCCGAGUAGUC